UACGGGGGGGGCAAGCGUUGUUCGGAAUUACUGGGCGUAAAGGGCUCGUAGGUGGCCAACUAAGUCAGACGUGAAAUCCCUCGGCUUAACCGGGGAACUGCGUCUGAUACUGGAUGGCUUGAGUUUGGGAGAGGGACGCGGAAUUCCAGGUGUAGCGGUGAAAUGCGUAGAUAUCUGGAGGAACACCAGUGGCGAAAGCGACUUUCUGGUCCUUAACUGACGCUGAGGCGCGAAAGCAUGGGGAGCGAACGGG
rnacentral:rRNA from 1 species